rnacentral:rRNA from 1 species
UACGAAGGGGGCUAGCGUUGCUCGGAAUCACUGGGCGUAAAGCGCACGUAGGCGGAUUGCUAAGUCAGGGUGAAAUCCUGGAGCUCAACUCCAGAACUGCCUUUGAUACUGGCGAUCUUGAGUCCGGGAGAGGUGAGUGGAACUGCGAGUGUAGAGGUGAAAUUCGUAGAUAUUCGCAAGAACACCAGUGGCGAAGGCGACUUUCUGGUCUGUAACUGACGCUGAGGCGCGAAAGCGUGGGGAGCAAACAGG